GGAAAGCUCAAAUGGGGAAUUGGCCCCGGAGGCAGCAGUAAAGAAUUUUGUGCAAUAUAUGAAGGUAAGACACAGAGAGGGCACCUUGCCUAGUCCGUCAAAUUAAGUGCCAGCAGACGCGGUGAAACUUAAGGGCUAGUUUUGUGGGCAAAAGCGUAAAGGGUGUGAUAGGCCGUUUUAAUUAAAAAGGGUUUUAUAAUUUAAGAAGGUAAAUGGAAUUUUUUUGUAGCGGUGGAAUGUGUAAAUAGAAAAAAGAACUUUAGACGUGAAGACUAUUUAUUUUUGAGAUUAUAGUGUGGUGGCUAAAACACGAGAGUAUGGGGAGCAAACAGGAUUAGGGACCCUGGUAGUCUAUACUGUAAAUAAUGAAAAAGAUGUGAAGCAAUCCUAAAAAGUCAGAAAUUUUCCGCUUGAGUAGUACGACCGCAAGGUUAAAAUUCAAAAAACUUGGCUGUUCACUGUUUUAAUUAGAGGAGCGUGUCGUUUAAUUCGAUAGUCCGCGAGAGACCUUACCCAAACUUGAAUCCCUCAUUGACAGGUAUUGCAUGGCCGUCGUCAAUUUGUGUAUUAAACAUAAAACAGAUUUAACCCAGUGGUUUGUCACUUGGAUGAAGUCAGGUCUUAUUGUCCUAAUGUUUGGGGAUUAGAUGCGCUACAUUUUUUUAUACAAUAGGAAACUUUGAGUGUGAAACCUGAAAAUAAGAGUUCGGAAAGUGCCUGGAAGAUAACGGAAAGUUGUAUUUAAUAGUAAUUGAAAAGUAGAGCGUUUCAAUGAAAUUUUUCAGUGUUAGUACAAAUUGCCCGUCGCCUUUGCUUAGACAGGUUGGUUGAUUGCCCCUCAAGAGGGUUUCUAAUACCUCCGAGGCAGAGUAAGUC
rnacentral:rRNA from 1 species